rnacentral:rRNA from 1 species
AUACCGCGUGACAACCCGAGGGGGCAUCCCCUUGGGUUCAAAGGAGAGAUCCGGUACCGGCUGGGCAUGCGGCGCAUUAGCUAGUUGGCGGGGCAACGGCCCACCAAGGCGACGAUGCGUAGGGGUUCUGAGAGGAAGGUCCCCCACACUGGAACUUGAGACACGGUCCAGACUCCUACGGGAGGCAGCAGUGAGGAAUAUUGGUCAAUGGGCGCAAGCCUGAACCAGCCAAGUCGCGUGAGGGAAGACGGCCCUACGGGUUGUAAACCUCUUUUGCCGGGGAGCAAGCCUGAGCACGUGUGCCCAGGCGGAGAGUACCCGGAGAAAAAGCAUCGGCUAACUCCGUGCCAGCAGCCGCGGUAAUACGGAGGAUGCGAGCGUUAUCCGGAUUUAUUGGGUUUAAAGGGUGCGCAGGCGGGCUGUUAAGCCGGCGGUAAAAAUUCAGGGCUCAACCCUGUCGAGCCGUCGGAACUGGCAGUCUUGAGUGGGCGAGAAGUAUGCGGAAUGCGUGGUGUAGCGGUGAAAUGCAUAGAUA